rnacentral:rRNA from 1 species
GCAGGGAAUCUUGCGCAAUGGGCUAAAAGGCCUGACGCAGCGACACCGCGUGGGGGAAGAAGGCCUUCGGGUUGUAAACCCCUUUUCUUGGGGAAGAGUGAGGACGGUACCCGAGGAAUAAGCCUCGGCUAACUACGUGCCAGCAGCCGCGGUAAUACGUAGGAGGCGAGCGUUGUCCGAAUUUACUGGGCGUAAAGGGCGAGUAGGCGGUCCGACAAGUCUCAUGUGAAAUCUCCCGGCUCAACUGGGAGGGGUGAUGGGAAACUGACGGACUUGAGGGCAGUAGAGGAGAGUGGAAUUCCCGGAGUAGCGGUGAAAUGCGUAGAUACCGGGAGGAACACCCGAGGCGAAGGCGACUCUCUGGGCUGUCCCUGACGCUGAGGCGCGAAAGCAUGGGGAGCGAACCGG